rnacentral:rRNA from 1 species
UACGUAGGGGGCAAGCGUUGUCCGGAAUCAUUGGGCGUAAAGAGCGCGUAGGCGGCCCGGUAAGUCCGCUGUAAAAGUCCAGGGCUCAACCCUGGAAAGCCGGUGGAUACUGUCGGGCUAGAGUCCGGAAGAGGCGAGUGGAAUUCCUGGUGUAGCGGUGAAAUGCGCAGAUAUCAGGAAGAACACCCGUGGCUAAGGCGGCUCUCUAGUACGGUACUGACGCUGAGACGCGAAAGCGUGGGGAGCGAACAGG